GCACCAGCCAGCCCUUCCAGGGCACUACUGCCCCGGCUCCUCCUCCCGAAGGCGGCUUGCCUUCUCUGCCUUAUCCGAGGAUCUAGCUGCUAAACCAGCUGACUUGCUGAUCACGUGAGUGCGGACUUCUGCACGGAGCACGCUGGGACUUGUAGUCCAUCCCCUUUUCUGCAGUGCGAAGCAAAACCUGUCAGCCUUUGGCACCUGCGAAGAAGUUGUAAACACGACAUUUAAAGACUGGAGGCAGGAAGCCUCCCUGUGCCAAGGACCCUAACGUGGGAAGCAAGAGGGGUUCUGCUAAUUGACCCUGGCACACGAUCUCAGCCGGUAUUUAUUAAGCGUGAUCCAAACCAAUUCCAUAGAUUUAAGGCUGGAAGGGACCUUGGAGCUCGUGGUAUCCAACUCGCUCUCUUUUUUGAUGGGGGAAGAGACACAAAGAGACACGAGGAUAGUAUUUAGGGCUGGAGGGGACCUCGGAGGCUAACCCCUUCACUUUACAAAUGAGGAAACUGAGGCACGCCUCAGAGGUGAGAUUUGGAUUUGGGCUCAGAAGGUAGCCCUUUGGUGUGGGGAAUAAAGGCUGGACUCAGAGUCAAGAAGAGGAGUUCCUAUUUUGGCCUCAGGCACUUUCUGGCUGUGUGAUCUUGGCCAAGUCACCUAAUCUCUCACUGUUUCCUUUUGAGAUAGAGAUAAUUGCAGCAUAGGGUUGUAGUAAAGAUAAACUGAGAUAACAUAAGGAGAAGGCUUUGUAAACCAUAAGGAUCAGAGCUUUGUUGCAGGAAGGGAUCUGAGGGGUCCUCUACUCCAAAAUCUCUCAUUUGGUAGAAAAGGAAAUUAAGGACCAAUGUCACAUAGGUAAUAAGAGACAUGGCUGGGGUUUGAAUCCAAAUCCUCUGAUUCCAAAUCCAGUGUCUUUGGAUGAACACCCAGUGGAAUAUUUUAAUUUAUAAGAAUUCAGUGAAAUGAGCCUCUCCUCCUCUCUCUCUCUCUUUUUUUUUUUAAACCCUUACCUUCUGUCUUGGAGUCAAUACUGUGUUACAAUGUUAUUGAAUAAAGUGUUCUCCUGGUUCUGCUCCUUACUUCUACAUAGGUUCAACUAAUUCUUCCUAAGAUUUCUCUGAAAAUUUUUUUGGUAAUUUCUUAUGGAGCAAAUAUAUGUAUAUAUUAAAAACCCUUUCCUUCUGUCUUAGAAUCAAUACUAUGUAUUGGUUCCAAGACAGAAGGGCUGUAAGGGCUAGGCAAUGGGGGUCAAGUGACUUGCCCAGGGUCACACAGCUGGGAAGUGUCUGAGGCCAGAUUUGAACCUAGGACCUCCCAUCUCCUAGCCUGGCUCUCAAUCCACUGAGCUACCCAGCUGCCCCCUCUUUUUUUUUUUUUUUUAAACCUUACCUCCCAUCUUAGAAUCAAUACUGCAUGUUGGUUCCAAGGCAGAAGAGUGGUAAGGGCAAAGGUAGGCAUUAGGGGUUAAAUAACUUGCCCAAGGUCACACAGCUAGAAUUGAGGUUCUUUUGAAAGUUCUGUCAUAAUAUGUCAGAAUCUACUGAGAAUUGCAAAGUUCCCUGGUUCUUCCUUACCCCAGGGUUGGCCCCCUUUGCUUGAAUCUUGUAACUUGCUCAUGAACACUUACUAAUUCGUGUGAAUGAAUUUCUGGGAUCUUUAUGUACGUGCACAUACGUAUAUAUUAGAGUUAAUAAAACUUCUUAAUUAAUGGGUUCUUAUGAGCCAAUCUAGCUUUUAAAACUAGAAUUCAAUUCCUGUUGCUUCACCUAAAAGCUCACCCCACUGGUAGCUUGUAUUUGGCAUCAAUGACAUCAUUUAGGGUGUUGUUGAUUUGACAUCAGCUCUCCACUUAUUUCUAUCAUAAAGUCAAAGAUGUGUGACUUUGGGUGAAAAAGCUGGCCCUGUGGUCAGCUUUUUUCCUAUAGGGGAUUAGUGGGAGCAUAGAUAGGGGCACCUGCUUAUUCCAGCAGUCUGCAGGCUACUUGACCCUGGGCUGAAAGAACUUUGUAUUGGCUAGGGUAGUUUCCAUUUGUUUCUGUUCCCACUUUAUCUCACCCCUUUUAGGGCUCUUUCUUGUCAAGCCCCCUACAAUGGGCUCCUGCUUUUCCCUGGAUGGGGCUUUGUGGCAUAAUUUUGGACCUAGUAAGACUCCUUGACUUGAUGGGAAGAGCCAAUAAAAGCCAAGAAGAUUAAUUAAGUGACCAGAUAUUACAAUGGAAUAACAUUACAGGCAUCCCUUCCACAUCUUGGGGGCUAGUGGAAAAUCUGAGUAAAAUGUUUUGGCCCUCCCUUUGUUACCAGAGAAGAUCUGAUUUUUUUCUUUUUCUCUAAUGAGGUGUUUACUGAGUAUAUUUAUAGUAUUAAAAGCUAAAAUAUAUUGA